rnacentral:rRNA from 1 species
UUGCUCCCUUGAAGUUAGUGGCGAACGGGUGAGUAACGCGUAAUCAACCUGCCCUUCAGAGGGGGAUAACAACGGGAAACCGUUGCUAAUACCGCGUACGAUUCAUGAACGGCAUCGUUUAUGAAUGAAAGGUGGCCUCUAUUUAUAAGCUAUCGCUGAAGGAGGGGAUUGCGUCUGAUUAGCUAGUUGGAGGGGUAACGGCCCACCAAGGCAAUGAUCAGUAGCCGGUCUGAGAGGAUGAACGGCCACAUUGGGACUGAGACACGGCCCAAACUCCUACGGGAGGCAGCAGUGGGGAAUCUUCCGCAAUGGACGAAAGUCUGACGGAGCAACGCCGCGUGAGUGAUGAAGGUCUUCGGAUUGUAAAGCUCUGUUAAUCGGGACGAAAGAGUUCUGUGUAAAUAAUGCAGAAAAGUGACGGUACCGGAAUAGAAAGCCACGGCUAACUACGUGCCAGCAGCCGCGGUAAUACGUAGGUGGCAAGCGUUGUCCGGAAUUAUUGGGCGUAAAGCGCGCGCAGGCGGCCUAUCCAGUCUGUCUUAAAAGUUCGGGGCUCAACCCCGUGAUGGGAUGGAAACUAGUAGGCUAGAGUAUCGGAGAGGAAAGCGGAAUUCCUAGUGUAGCGGUGAAAUGCGUAGAUAUUAGGAAGAACACCAGUGGCGAAGGCGGCUUUCUGGACGAAAACUGACGCUGAGGCGCGAAAGCCAGGGGAGCGAACGGGAUUAGAUACCCCGGUAGUCCUGGCCGUAAACGAUGGGUACUAGGUGUAGGAGGUAUCGACCCCUUCU